rnacentral:rRNA from 1 species
CAGUAGCCGCGGUAAUACGUAGGGUGCGAGCGUUAAUCGGAAUUACUGGGCGUAAAGCGUGCGCAGGCGGUUGUGUAAGACAGGUGUGAAAUCCCCGGGCUUAACCUGGGAACUGCGCUUGUGACUGCACAGCUAGAGUAUGGCAGAGGGGGGUGGAAUUCCACGUGUAGCAGUGAAAUGCGUAGAGAUGUGGAGGAACACCGAUGGCGAAGGCAGCCCCCUGGGCCAAUACUGACGCUCAUGCACGAAAGCGUGGGGAGCAAACAGGAUUAGAGACCCCAGUAGUCCCUGUCUCUUAUAA